rnacentral:rRNA from 1 species
UACGUAGGAGGCAAGCGUUGUCCGGAAUUACUGGGCGUAAAGCGCGUGUAGGUGGUGGGACAAGUCUGCUGUGAAAGCGCCUGGCUUAACCGGGCGAGGUCGGCGGAAACUGUCCGACUAGGGGACGGUAGAGGGGGGUGGAAUUCCCGGUGUAGUGGUGAAAUGCGUAGAGAUCGGGAGGAACACCUGUGGCGAAGGCGGCCCCCUGGGCCGGCCCUGACACUGAGACGCGAAGGCGUGGGGAGCGAACGGG